rnacentral:rRNA from 1 species
CCUACGGGAGGCAGCAGUGAGGAAUAUUGGUCAAUGGGCGGAAGCCUGAACCAGCCAAGUAGCGUGCAGGAUGACGGCCCUACGGGUUGUAAACUGCUUUUAUACGGGAAUAACGCGCCUUCCGUGUAGGGCUUUGCAUGUACCGUAUGAAUAAGGACCGGCUUAUUCCGUGCCAGCAGCCGCGGUAAUACGGAUGGUCCGGGCGGUAUCCGGGUUUAUUGGGUUUAAAGGGAGAGUAGGUCGCAUGUCAAGCGUGCUGUGAAAUGUCCGGGCUCAACCCGGGCCUUGCAGCGCGAACUGGCGUGCUUGAGUCCGCGGAAAGCAGGCGGAAUGCGUCGUGUAGCGGUGAAAGGCUUAGAUAUGACGAAGAACCCCGAUUGCGAAGGCAGCUUGCUGCAGCGGAACUGACGCUGAUGCUCGAAAGCGCGGGUAUCGAACAGGAUUAGAUACCCUGGUAGUC